rnacentral:rRNA from 1 species
UUUCGGGUCCAAACAGGCACACUCGGACUCAGCCCGCGCGCGGGCCGGUCGGUGUUGGGCAUUCGUUUUGUGUGCACACCAUACGCCGCCGAAACGGCUCCCUUUCAGUACGAGAGAAGUACUGAUGAUCGAAUAUCUUCUCCCUUGCGCGUCUGUUUGACUCCUUGGUCCGUGUUUCAAGACGGGUGAAGAUACCCCAUUUGGCCGUGUCAACAUUGAGCAUCACUGGAAACCGAGCGGCGCUCGCCGGCGCGACCCUCAAACGCGACCCGCGAGGGCGGGGCGCGCCGGUGCGUCCGCACUUGUACUCCAGCUCACCUCACCGAUCCCCACGCGUCUGCACUUGUUUGCACACCGGGCUUCCCCGAAGGGGGCCUGGCGGAUAAUGCUCCGGGGGCGGUUUUGACCAAAAUGAAAUGGAGGCACUUUCAUUGCCAUUGUCACGACUUCAGGUUCUAUGUCACUCUCUUUCCAAAGUGCUUUUCAAACUUUCGCUCACGCUACUUGUUCGCUAUCGGUCUUCCUA